rnacentral:rRNA from 1 species
UACGUAGGGGGCAAGCGUUGUCCGGAUUCACUGGGCGUAAAGAGCGUGUAGGCGGCCAAGCAGGUCCGUUGUGAAAACUGGAGGCUUAACCUCCAGACGUCGACGGAAACCGCGUGGCUAGAGUCCGGAAGAGGAGAGUGGAAUUCCUGGUGUAGCGGUGAAAUGCGCAGAUAUCAGGAGGAACACCGGUGGCGAAGGCGGCAUCCUGGACCGAGAUCGACGCUGAGGCGCGAAAGCUAGGGGAGCAAACGGG